GGGGCCAUAGCUCAGCUGGGAGAGCACCUGCCUUGCAAGCAGGGGGUCGGCGGUUCGAUUCCGCCUGGCUCCACCA
rnacentral:tRNA from 1 species